GCCUGGGUGGCUCAGUCGGUUAAGCGUCCGACUUUGGCUCAGGUCAUGAUCUCACAGUCUGUGGGUUCGAGCCCCACGUCGGGCU
rnacentral:tRNA from 1 species